UGGGGAAUAUUGCACAAUGGGGGAAACCCUGAUGCAGCGACGCCGCGUGAAGGAAGAAGUAUUUCGGUAUGUAAACUUCUAUCAGCAGGGAAGAAAAUGACGGUACCUGAACUAAGAAGCCCCGGCUAACUACGUGCC
rnacentral:rRNA from 1 species